UAAUAGCUCAUUGAUUUAGGUUUAUUGUUAGAUACAUGACAAAAUCCAACCAUGGCCUUCUCACACAGGCAACCCAACACCAACACCAACGAGAAAAUCAUGUCAUCAACAAUAUCUUGAACUACUAAAAUUCUAGUCCGCCUAUGCAACAGAAAUUUUCCCAAAAAUAUUUCAUUGCCACGACUUUGGACAUGCUUUAUAGACAUUGAGCACUUCUCAAAUCAGCUUCAUUUUCAUCUGGAAGAAAUUGGGGUAAAACAAAAAAAAUAAUAAUUUGUUGACACACAUGCUUCAAGGCCUAAUUUUGAUCCCACAUUUUGUUGUAAUACACUCGUCAACCCUUUAUACGAACCACAAAUGAACAUGCUAGAAGAUCGGAUAUGUCAGCAGAAACAGCACAAGGAAUUCCUAAGUUUGAAAGAGCUCCUCUUAUGAUACCGCAAGGGAAAUAGAGAUGCAUGCUCAUUGCUUGGGUAGCCUUGUUUUCAGCCAGUGCAGAGAUCUUGUGAUAAAGCUACAUUUUCAAUUGACGGAUCGACUGGCAUCUGUGCAAGCCAACGAAACC
rnacentral:misc_RNA from 1 species